GGAGGGUGCAAGCGUUGUUCGGGAAUUACUGGGGCGUAAAGCGCGUGUAGGCGGUUUGCUAAGUCUGAUGUGAAAGCCCGAGGGCUCACCCUCGGAAGUGCAUUGGAUACUGGUGAGCUAGAGUCCCCGGAGAGGAGGGUGGAAUUCCUGGUGUAGCGGUGAAAUGCGUAGAUAUCAGGAGGAACACCGGCGGCGAAGGCGGCCCUCUGGACGGUGACUGACGCUGAGACGCGAAAGCGUGGGGAGCAAACAGGAUUAGAUACCCUGGUAGUCCACGCCGUAAACGAUGAGCACUAGGUGUCGCGGGUAUUGACCCCUGCGGUGCCGACGCUAACGCAUUAAGUGCUCCGCCUGGGGAGUACGGUCGCAAGAUUA
rnacentral:rRNA from 1 species